CACGUAGGGCGCGAGCGUUGUCCGGAAUUAUUGGGCGUAAAGAGCUCGUAGGCGGCCUGUUGCGUCCGCUGUGAAAGCCCGGGGCUUAACCCCGGGUCUGCAGUGGAUACGGGCAGGCUAGAGGUAGGUAGGGGAGAAUGGAAUUCCCGGUGUAGCGGUGAAAUGCGCAGAUAUCGGGAGGAACACCGGUGGCGAAGGCGACUCUCUGGUCUGUAACUGACGCUGAGGCGCGAAAGCGUGGGUAGCGAACAGG
rnacentral:rRNA from 1 species